rnacentral:misc_RNA from 1 species
GCGAGUUCAGCUCUCUAAAACCAUUGUGAACGCACCGUCAAUCGUUGCUUCGGCGGGAGACCCCGCCGACAGAACGCAAACUCUGUAAUUAUUGCAUAUCUGAGUAUACUUUUAAUAAGUUA